UACGUAGGGUGCAAGCGUUGUCCGGAAUUAUUGGGCGUAAAGAGCUCGUAGGCGGCUGGUCACGUCGGAUGUGAAAACCCGAGGCUCAACCUCGGGCCUGCAUUCGAUACGGGCUGGCUAGAGUACUGCAGGGGAGACUGGAAUUCCUGGUGUAGCGGUGAAAUGCGCAGAUAUCAGGAGGAACACCGGUGGCGAAGGCGGGUCUCUGGGCAGUAACUGACGCUGAGGAGCGAAAGCGUGGGGAGCGAACAGG
rnacentral:rRNA from 1 species